UACGAAGGGGGCUAGCGUUGCUCGGAAUCACUGGGCGUAAAGGUGCGUAGGCGGCUUUAUAAGUCGGGGGUGAAAGCCUGUGGCUCAACCACAGAAUUGCCUUCGAUACUGUAGAGCUUGAGACCGGAAGAGGUAAGUGGAACUGCGAGUGUAGAGGUGAAAUUCGUAGAUAUUCGCAAGAACACCAGUCGGCGAAGGCGGAGCUUGCCUUGG
rnacentral:rRNA from 1 species